rnacentral:sRNA from 21 species
CGUCCGGUGGAUUGCGACGGGCAGGAAGGCAGGCAUUGGCCGGCCUUCCUGCCCGCUUUCGGUUGCCGCUGACGGGAACACGUCA